AUACUUCUGCCCAGUGUCUAAAAGAUAAAUGGCCGCAGUACCUUGACUGUGCUAAGGUAGCAUAAUCAAUUGGCUUUUAAUUGAAGUCUAGAAUGAAUGGGAAAAUGGAAUUUAGCUGUCUUAAAUUUUUUAAUUAAAAUUUAUUUAUAAGGUGAAAAUACCUUAAAAUUAAAUAAAGACGAGAAGACCCUAUGAAUUUUUUAAAUGUAUUUUUGUUGGGGCGACAGUUUAAAAAAUAAUCUUAAAUUUAUAAUAUAUAACGAAUUUUUUAAUAAAAAUUAAAUUACCUUAGGGAUAACAGCAUUAUUAUUAAAAUAGUUUGUGACCUCGAUGUUGGACUAGGAACUAAAAGGCUAACCGUCUUUAUAGAUUUGUUCUGUUCGAACAAUUUAAUCCU
rnacentral:rRNA from 2 species